CCGCGGUAACACCGGCGGCCCGAGUGGUGAUCGUGAUUAUUGGGUCUAAAGGGUCCGUAGCCGGUUUGGUCAGUCCUCCGGGAAAUCUGAUAGCUCAACUAUUAGGCUUUCGGGGGAUACUGCCAGACUUGGAACCGGGAGAGGUAAGAGGUACUACAGGGGUAGGAGUGAAAUCUUGUAAUCCCUGUGGGACCACCUGUGGCGAAGGCGUCUUACCAGAACGGGUUCGACGGUGAGGGACGAAAGCUGGGGGCACGAGCCGGAUUAGAUACCCGGGUAGUCCCAGCCGUAAACGAUGCUCGCUAGGUGUCAGGCAUGGCGCGACCGUGUCUGGUGCCGCAGGGAAGCCGUGAAGCGAGCCACCUGGGAAGUACGGCCGCAAGGCUGAAACUUAAAGGAAUUGGCGGGGGAGCACAACAACGGGUGGAGCCCUGCGGUUUAAUUGGACUCAACGCCGGACAACUCACCGGGGGCGACAGCAAUAUGUAGGCCAAGCUGAAGACUUUGCCUGAAUCGCUGAGGAGUGGUGCAUGG
rnacentral:rRNA from 1 species